AUACGUAGGGAGCGAGCGUUGUCCGGAAUUACUGGGUGUAAAGGGUGCGUAGGCGGGGCUGCAAGUCAGAUGUGAAAUGUAUGGGCUCAACCCAUGAACUGCAUUUGAAACUGUGGCUCUUGAGUGAGGUAGAGGUAAGCGGAAUUCCUAGUGUAGCGGUGAAAUGCGUAGAUAUUAGGAGGAACAUCGGUGGCGAAGGCGGCUUACUGGGCCUUUACUGACGCUGAGGCACGAAAGCGUGGGGAGCAAACAGGAUUAGAUACCCUGGUAGUCCACGCUGUAAACGAUGAUGACUAGGUGUGGGGGGACUGAACCCUUCCGUGCCGCAGUUAACACAAUAAGUAUUCCACCUGGGGAGUACGGCCGCAAGGUUGAAACUUAAAGGAAUUGACGGGG
rnacentral:rRNA from 1 species